GGACGUAUAAGGCCAAGAUGAGGACAAAGAAUGAGAGGGAAGGAGGUUGGUUCCUGACAGAGUUGUGAGAAGGAUGGAGAGAAGACCCUGGAGCGGCCCGCCUCCUGUGAGGGUACCACUGUCAGUUUGCUCCAACUCUGCACUCACCUGAUGUGCUGAGGAGCCUGGACAGGCUUUCAUGAUCAUACCCACUCUACUGGGCUGGCCCUUGCACCAGCGAGGAAGCCCACGAGGCUCCUGUGCUUCUGCUCUUGCCUCUGCAUGCUCCCCCUCUUCCUGCCUUGAGACUUAAUAUAGAGUCUAUCACCUGCCAGCUGGGAACCUGAUCAUUGACCCAACAUCCGUGACCUGAGAAGGGCACACAAGUCCAGUGCUCUGUGUGUGUUCUUCUGGAACAUUGUGGGAUGGCAAAGGAGCUCCGAGAAGCCCCCAAAGGACUUCAGGGGACUCUGAAACAUAGAGAAUAAGGGGAGCCCUUCAAGGCAGGACAGGGAAACCUGCAGGGAUAUGGAGCAGACUGAGGCAAUGCUCAGGCCCUGCCAUCAUGACUCAGGUUUUUGGCUGAGAUUCCACCUACCAAUGUCUCCUGCCAAUUGUCAGGUCACCAGCUGCCCCUCUCUUGUCCUGAGUCUCCUGCCCAUUGUGACCUUGAGGGCUCAUGGGCUCU
rnacentral:lncRNA from 1 species